UUGAAGGGAAACGAUUGAAGUCAGUCCUACCUUCCGGUAAUCAGCCUUUCGGGUGCCAUUCUGUGGGGUGUGAAAAGUUAAACGCCUUCACCUUUUGCAUAUUCCUGCUCUUGGGUGUACUUGCCCGUGUGGUUGGUUAACAUCAAUUUUGGACCCCCUAAAAUGACUGGAGGAAUGUAGCUUCCAUCUCCUAUUGAAGUGGUAUAACCCUCCGUAAAUGUUGUUUUCGAAAUUUAAGAUUGCCACGGAAACCCUUCGGGGCUACCUAUCUGAUCUCUGAUCGUUGCUCUGGUGCCGAAAGCUUGGUUACCGUUAUCAAAUUCCAAGGUCAAUAAGUUACAAUGGGUUAAAUUCCUUAAGGAUGUUGACGUAAAUCACUAAUGCGGGCGCCUGCAAGUCCACCAUAUUGGAAAACUCCCCACGCCUUGGAAGCAUAGCUUUAGUAUUCUAUAGUUUAAAAUUUUUAAUUAAUUUCCCUUUCAAAUCACUAGUCUCUCUUAAAUUAAACC
rnacentral:rRNA from 1 species